UCUGGAGAAUGGAGAGAGGCGGGAAGCAGGUGGGAUUGAGGAGUGGUGGACAGAGAGGGUAGUCAUUGUGUUGAAUACAUUAACAGAGAGAGCGAGAGAAGGGUCAUCAAAAGUGCAG